CAGCAGCCGCGGUAAAACCAGCAGCCCAAGUGGUGGUCGCGUUUAUUGGGCCUAAAGCGCUCGUAGCCUGGCCGGUAAGUUCCCCGUGAAAUCGGGUCGCCCAACGAUUCGGCUUGCGGGGAAUACUGUCGGUCUUGGGGCCGGGAGACGCCGAGGGUACUCCGGGGGUAGCGGUGAAAUGCGUUGAGAUCGGAAAGAACACCAACGGCGAAAGCACUCUGCUGGGCCGACACUGACACUGAGAGACGAAAGCUAGGGGAGCAAAUGGGAUUAGAUACCCGCGUAGUCCCUGUCUCUUAUA
rnacentral:rRNA from 1 species